GUGUGCAGUAAAGGAACACACCAGCAUUUCUGCAUGUUGUAGAUCUACAUAGAACCGUUGGUUAGAUUGUUACUGUGCUUCUGUGUUCACUUUGGUCAAAGUUGUGUUGCUGUUGCAUCAAAUUACAAGGGGUCAGUCUGCGUCAUAGCAACCAUGCCAGAAAAACAUAACAUAGUGCUGGGCGGUACACUGUUCAUAACGUCAUGCAUGAUAUAUUUUUUUCAAAUACAGACCCCCCCACCCCCACGGCCUUUCAUUGAGAUAUGCAUUAUAUGAGCUGUAUUUACUCAAUGCUUCCUGACUAAGUCUCAUCAACUGACCAUAUUUGUUACUAAUUUGUAAUUCAAAAUUUCACACAGACAAACAGCAUGCUGGGAUAUGCUGGCCAGGCAGGUAAGCACAGCAGGGUGCUAACAGCGGGAGGUGCUCUGUGCAGGCUGUACGGUCAGGAGCAGCUGAGACAGAGCGAGGAUGAAGAAAAGAACAACAACAACAACAACAAAAAAAACAGCAAAGAUGACCCAGAGAGGAUCUGCUGUUUUUCCUGGUCUCUGCACUGUGGGCAGGGAUGCUCCACACACAGUGACAUGGAUAAUGUGCUACUUGAGGUAAGAGUGUUUUUCCUGAUGGCUGAAUCAUUUCCCCCACAAAGUUCGGAGAAUAAGUCCAAACAGACUUUCUUAAAGCUCAUGACCCACAACAUGUUGAUUUUGUUACAAACAGGGACAAAAAAAUAAAAAAGUGGAAACACAUCUCAUGUAAAACUUCCUGUUCUGCUUUAAGGACUGACUCCCUGUGACACAGCAUAGGACAACAGAGAUUGUUUCGGGUGUGUGUGUGUUUAGGGUUUUAUACUCCUGACAGAAGAACGAGCUGCUGUAGUUCUACAUGAAGACCCACUGGGACAACCCUGAAACUGAAUCUCACCGUCAUACCGCCCAGCACUACAUGCAAAAACCCAAAAAGGAAUCCUGAAGGUCACAGUGUUCAGAAUUACAAAAAGCAGAUCAUGAUCACGGCAGUUCAUUAAAAAGAAACAUGUUUUCAGGAAAACGUGAAGGAAAUUAAUCUUGA
ensembl:lncRNA